rnacentral:rRNA from 1 species
UACGUAGGGGCCUAGCGUUGUCCGGAUUUAUUGGGCGUAAAGAGCUCGUAGGCGGUUUGGUGAGUCGGGUGUGAAAUCUCCACGCUCAACGUGGAGGGGCCACCCGAUACUGCCAUGACUAGAGUCCGGUAGGGGAGUGUGGAAUUCCCGGUGUAGCGGUGAAAUGUGUAGAGAUCGGGAGGAACACCGGUGGCGAAGGCGGGUCUCUGGGCGAUCUCCUGACGCUGAGGCAGCGA